UACGGGGGGAGCAAGCGUUGUUCGGAUUUACUGGGCGUAAAGGGCGCGUAGGCGGCCACCGCAAGUCGACUGUGAAAUCUCCGGGCUUAACUCGGAAAGGUCAGCCGAUACUGCGGGGCUAGAGUGCAGAAGGGGCAACUGGAAUUCUCGGUGUAGCGGUGAAAUGCGUAGAUAUCGGAAAGAACACCAACGGCGAAAGCACUCUGCUGGGCCGACACUGACACUGAGAGACGAAAGCUAGGGGAGCGAAUGGG
rnacentral:rRNA from 1 species